UACGAAGGGGGCAAGCGUUGUUCGGCUUUACUGGGCGUAAAGGGCGCGUGGGCGGAUCUUUAAGUCAGAGGUGAAAGCCCUGGGCUCAACCCGGGAAUUGCCUUUGAGACUGUGGUUCUUGAGUAUGGAAUAGGAUGGCGGAAUACCCAGUGUAGAGGUGAAAUUCGUAGAUAUUGGGUAGAACACCGGUGGCGAAGGCGGCCACCUGGCCCGACACUGACGCUGAGGCCCGAAAGCGUGGGGAUCAACCAGG
rnacentral:rRNA from 1 species